AUGGUCCCACCCACCCACCUGGAGAGUGGCAGCACGUCCAGCUUCAGCUGUUACCAUGGCCACCGUUCCAUGUGCAGUGGCUACCUGGCUGACUGCCCAGGUAGUGACAGCAGCAGCAGCUCUGGCCCGUGCCACUGUUCCUCCAGUGACUCUGUGAUGGACUGCACUGAGGUCAGCAACCAGGGUGUUUAUGGGAGCUGCUCCACUUUCCGAAGCUCCCUCAGCAGUGACUAUGACCCCUUCAUCUACCGCAGCCGGAGUCCCUGUCACACCAGCGAGGCAGGGGCUUCAGGCAGCUCAAGCCGAGCGCCUGCCGUGUGCCUUGAGGGCUCCCUACCACCCGAGGAGCUCCUAACAGCACAUAGUUAUGGUGCUGGAAAGGGAGAGCCAUGGCCAGGCCCUGCCUCUCCCUCAGGGGACCAGUUGUCUACCUGUAGCCUGGAGAUGAACUAUAGCAGCAACUCCUCCCUGGAGCACAGGGGGCCUACCAGCUCUACCUCAGAUGUGGGGCUUGAGGGUUCUCCCGGGGCUGCGCUGGACCUCAGGAGGACCUGGAAAGGGGGCCUAGAGGGGCCAUCAUGUGUCUGCUGCUGUGAGCCUCAGCCCUUUGCACUGGGGCCUGGUGCAGGAGCAGCUGGCAAUGGCAGCACCUUGUUCCUGAGUGCCCCCCUCCAUGAGGGUUGCAGCCACACAGGAGGGGAGUUACAGCCAGGAAGUUCCCAGGGCCUGUAUGGCCUUCACCCAGACCAUUUGCCCCGGAUAGAUGGGGUGAAAUAUGAGGGCCUGCCUUGCUGCUUCUAUGAAGAGAAGCAAGUGGCCCAUGGUGGUGGAGGGGGCAGCGGCUGCUAUACUGAGGACUACUCAGUGACUGUGCAGUAUACACUUGCUGAAGAGCCCCCACCCAGCUGCUACUCAGGGGCCCAGGACCUGAGCCAGCGCAUCCCCAUCAUUCCAGAGGAUGUAGACUGUGACUUGGGCCUACCUCUAGACUGCCAAGGGACUCCUAGCCUCAGACCCUGGGGUAGGACGCCAGGCCUGGAUGCCCUGCGGCCCCACAGGAGCUUGGGAACAGCCCAGGAAGAGGAGCAGGCUCCAUGCUACCAGGCUGAUGUGCUGCUGCAGCCUGGCUGUCUUCCAGAGGGGGCAGGUGCCACCAGGGCCAGCCUCCCCAGUGCCCCCCAGGACACUCAGGAGUCCAACGCCCCAGGUGCUGAGGCUGCAGGACCAGGAUCUCGCCCAGCAGAAGGCAGCGGCACAGGAACCUGAGCUCAGAAGGAACUGUUAUUGAAAGUUGGGAACUGUCAGACUCUGACUUCCUUCAAAAAAAAAAAAAAAAGAAAGAGAAAAAAAGAAAAAAAUUUUUAGCUUUGACAAACACAUAAAAGUGGUAAUAAAGAGAGCCCUCCUUUCAACCCAAAAUGUGAGCCACCUGUGGCAAAAGUCUCCUCUCCCAUUAACAAACCAACAGACAAAAUUCUGAGUCCUUUGCCUCUUUUGAUAACAUGUUAUUCUUCUGUUUUGUAAAAUGUGUGCUUGGGGUUACAAGGUGUGUGGGAUUGAGUUCUCUGCUUUGUUUCUUUUUUAAAAGAUAUUAUAUGUAAAUGUAAAAAGAUAUUUAAAUAUAUAUUUUAAAGAACCCUAACCACCAGUUUUUGCUGAAAAAGAAAAAAAUCAUUGCUGCAUUAAAUGAACCACAUCAUGUGUAGAUACUCUUGUCUCCCUGGAGGGAGCUCAGGCCUUUGAAAAGCUCAGGGCUACACCUGCCUUAGAAAAUGAACCAGAAACUUGAAGUGAAGAUAGUUAAUAUGGGUACAAACUCUGAGGAACAAUGUAAAGCUGCCUCUUUGUUUCUCGUGGCAAAUCCAAAUGUACAAAAUGUCAGGUCUUGGAAGCCAUGCCUCUCCAGCCUGUACCUUUAGACAGGGGAUGGAAAUGGCUAUGAAUAGGCCAGAAAGUCUGCAGCACUAGGGAGCUGGGUCAAACCAUUGCUGCACAAGCCUCAGCAAGACAAGGACAGUUCUGCCCAGUAUCCUUAAUCUGUCCCUUUGGGUCAUCCCAAAUGAAACGAGUUCACAAUCCUGAUCAUGGCAGAGGCUCAGAUCAUAAUAAGGGCAGUGUUCUUGAGGACCUCCACCUGAACUGUAACCCCUGGGGCAGAGAAGAGAAAGCUCUGCCUCUGUUCUUGACUUUGGAUUCUUUUGGAAAUAUAUUUUGGGCUUCCUGCCACUGGCUAUGAAAUGGUUAGACAAGGAGUGUGGGCAAACACCCAGAAAGAAUGUAGUUUUUGUGGCCUUGGUGUCUGAUGGGGCUGGGGGAGAUUGCUCUCCAAGUACCUUGCAGCACACUACCCUUUGGAGAAGGGAUGCAGGGCACGCCUGUGCACAUGCUCUGUGGAGGGAGGGGCCAAGCACCUUUGGCUGCUGUUUCUUUGGGCUGCCUUCCUUGGGGUAGGACUUCAGACCCCAUGGAGGAGGGUCUGAACCCUGAGCUCCCCUUGAAUGAUACUUUUCCCAUCCCAUUUUCCCACAAAAGCCCCACUUCAGGGUUAUUCAGCCCUCUGCCUCAUGGCUGAAAUUGCUCAUCUCACCUGCAAAUGUCUACUAUCUACCUAAUGCACUAUUAUAAAUUGAUUCUCCAUGAGAUAGGCUAUCAGAUAGUUUAGACCCAAAGGGUAGUUUUUUGUAUAUUUUUCCAGCCUUUUGCUUUUCUAAGGGGCAGGGAGAGCUUUUAAAACCCAAACCAUUUUUUAAAAGAGAAGUGUUUCAUUUUUAAAAGGGAGAGACUCUAUUUAAAACUACUUCAGAUCAGGGAUUAUCAUCCUUUUUGUCCAGUUUAUUCCUUCUUGUUCUUGAAACUAGUCACAUUAGCCUUUAUGUUCACUAACUCUUCUGAUCUCUCUCUCUCUCUUUUUUUUUUCAUAUAGCAGAUGGUUGUUGCCAUUUGAAAGAGCGUGGCCCAUUGAGUAUCUAAAAGCUCAUUUGAGAAUAGGAACCUUGGGACCUGGCUCCCUAUAGAUGAGGAUAGGGAUCACCCUGGGAUGUCAGAAGACUUACUGACCCCUCUCCAGUCAGGCACUCAGAAAGUCAGCCCAGGGUCCAGACUGGAACUUUUUUUUUUUGGUACCUGGGAUCGAACUCGGGACCUUGUGCUUUCAAGGCAGAUGGUGGAACCACUGAGCUAAAUCCCCGGACUGAGACUGGAACAUUUUGAAUAAAAGUCUCACUAUAUCAGAAUGCUUUUAAGACUCCAACCUAUUAUGAGGAAAUUAUUUCUAGCCAGGAUUUGACAGAAGGAAAUCCCAACAUCAAGCCAUUUGCCAUUUAGGAACUCACAGUGGUGAGAUUUAUCCUCCAGCCUCUGGGGUACACUCUCUUGGGGCCUGCUCCCCUGGGCUGUGCCUAGCACACCUGUUGGUAAGGGUGUGAGAAGCGCCUAAGCUGUUGACAUGGGAUCAGGGCCGCCUUUAUUUCUGAGGCCAGGAGUAGCAGCUGCUAAGAAUAACAGCUUGCAUUACAUGGUUUUAGGGAGCGGGUGGGGCAUGACUUUUAACAUGAACUGCAAAAAGCAGCUUCUCAUUGUUGAAUUUUUGUUGUUGUUUGUGGUUUUGCUUUUUCAGUUUUAAUGCCUUUGAGUGCAUAUUAUCUUCCUUUUCUGAAACCCUACCCCCAAAGUGGCUUUCUUUAGCCCUAGCUAGAAAACCACCCCUCAGUAGCCUUAAGCAGUAAAUAGAUGAGAAAAUUUGGCUGCCAAUGGAUUUAUUAAAGUAAACACAUCAAUUUUUAUUUGAAAGACUGAUAACUAUAGACAACAAAAAGGACUAUUUAAUUUUUGUACUGUAUAGGUGGAAGAAAAUGAAAAUUUAAAAAUCAAGCAUCACCUUUCAAAUUUGUAUUGGCUCAUUAAACAGGAAGGUCACUGGAGUAAAAUAACCAACUAUCUUAUUGCAUCACUAUUUUAAUCAUAUGAACUGUCUUUGAAGUUUGAAGGCUCCAAUUAUGGUGGCAAGCACCUUUGUGGUGUGUGGUAGUUGUAUAGCCAGGGAAACAGGAGCAUCCCACUUUCCACUUGGAACCACCCCUUCCCCCAAAUUGGGAUGUGACAAUAGGACAUGGUCUUGGGGCCUUGUCCUGUGUAUAGGACAGCCAUGUAAACUGAAGAAUUCUAGAACCAGCUGAACAUGGAAGUCUGAGCAUUCUGACCUCCAGGGUACCUCUGUGGACACAGACCCAGUAAGCUGGCUUUAACUGUCCUCCAAGCUUCUUUAUUAAGUUCUGUCUCCUGUUCCACUGUUCAGACUCUCCCAUAUAUACUUCUGGUCUCUACUCAAGGUUCAUGCUUUCAAAAUGAGGUCUAAAAAAUAAUUACUAAUCAAGAGUAUUGUCUUUGCAACAGAGCUGCCUUUUUCUAUUCUUUGUAUAAACUCUUGUGUUGGUCUAAAAAGGCACUAUUUAAAAGAAUUUUUUAAUUUCUUCCAUGGCACUUAAAAUAUUUUAUAAAGACUUUGCUGUAAAGAUUUUGUAAUUAAACAAUCUAAGGGCUCCUUUUCCAACAUUACCAUUUUUUAAAAAUGUUUUAAAAGCUAGAAAACAACUUAUGUAUAUUCUGUAUAUGUAUAGCAGCACAUUUCAUUUAUGGAAAUAUGUUCUCAGAAUAUUUAUUUACUAAUAUAUUUAUCUUAAGCCAUGUCUUAUGUUGAGAGUGUGACAUUGUUGGAAUAAUCAUUGAAAAUGACUAACACGAGGCCCUGUAAAUACAUGAUAAUUGCACACAGAUUUUACAUAUUUGCAGACCAAAAAUGAUUUAAAACAAGUCGUAGUCUUCUAUGGUUUUGUAACAAAUUGUACAAAUGACUGUAAAGAAAAUACAAUUUUAUCAACUAUGUGUUAUAUGUUGUCAUUGCUCUAUUCUGUUGAGAUCUUCAGAUUCUACCAGGAAGAGGUUUGUAUGGACCAGUGCUUUGUUUUGUUUUUUCAGUAUUGGGGAUUGAACUCAGGCCCUUUGUUUGUUUGGUACCGGGGAUCAAACUCAGGACCCUGCGCUUGCAAGGCAGGCAGAGGAACCACUGAGCCAAACCCCAGGCCCGACGCAGGCCCUUUGUACUAAGCUACAUCUCUGCCACCCCUCCCCCCUCUUUUUAAAAUCAGGACUAAUAAAUAAAUAAAUAAAUAAAAUCAGGACUAAGUCUCUAAAGUUGCCCAGGCUAGGCUUGAACUUUGUGUCCUCCUGCCUCAGCCUCCCAGAAUGCUGAGAUUACAGGCAGUGCUUUGAACUUCAGUUUACCCAUGGAAGUAUCCCUAUAACUUCCUCUCCUGUGGACGCAGAGUUCAGGCUUUGGGGAGUUCUCCAGUGUCAGGGAGAACAUUUGCUGGAGACUGGGGGUUUAAGUCCUUGUGGGGGUAGGCUUUCUGCUCAGUGCAUAUGGAGGAAGGUAGGG
rnacentral:lncRNA from 1 species